rnacentral:rRNA from 1 species
AGAGUUUGAUCCUGGCUCAGGACGAACGCUGGCGGCGCGCCUAACACAUGCAAGUCGAACGAGCGAGAGAGAGCUUGCUUUCUCAAGCGAGUGGCGAACGGGUGAGUAACGCGUGAGGAACCUGCCUCAAAGAGGGGGACAACAGUUGGAAACGACUGCUAAUACCGCAUAAGCCCACAGCUCGGCAUGGAGCAGAGGGAAAAGGAGCAAUCCGCUUUGAGAUGGCCUCGCGUCCGAUUAGCUAGUUGGUGAGGUAACGGCCCACCAAGGCGACGAUCGGUAGCCGGACUGAGAGGUUGAACGGCCACAUUGGGACUGAGACACGGCCCAGACUCCUACGGGAGGCAGCAGUGGGGAAUAUUGCACAAUGGGGGAAACCCUGAUGCAGCGACGCCGCGUGGAGGAAGAAGGUCUUCGGAUUGUAAACUCCUGUUGUUGAGGAAGAUAAUGACGGUACUCAACAAGGAAGUGACGGCUAACUACGUGCCAGCAGCCGCGGUAAAACGUAGGUCACAAGCGUUGUCCGGAAUUACUGGGUGUAAAGGGAGCGCAGGCGGGAAAGCAAGUUGGAAGUGAAAUCCAUGGGCUCAACCCAUGAACUGCUUUCAAAACUGUUUUUCUUGAGUAGUGCAGAGGUAGGCGGAAUUCCCGGUGUAGCGGUGGAAUGCGUAGAUAUCGGGAGGAACACCAGUGGCGAAGGCGGCCUACUGGGCACCAACUGACGCUGAGGCUCGAAAGUGUGGGUAGCAAACAGGAUUAGAUACCCUGGUAGUCCACACUGUAAACGAUGAUUACUAGGUGUUGGAGGAUUGACCCCUUCAGUGCCGCAGUUAACACAAUAAGUAAUCCACCUGGGGAGUACGACCGCAAGGUUGAAACUCAAAGGAAUUGACGGGGGCCCGCACAAGCAGUGGAGUAUGUGGUUUAAUUCGACGCAACGCGAAGAACCUUACCAAGUCUUGACAUCCUGCGACGGUGCUGGAAACAGUACUUUCCUUCGGGACGCAGAGACAGGUGGUGCAUGGUUGUCGUCAGCUCGUGUCGUGAGAUGUUGGGUUAAGUCCCGCAACGAGCGCAACCCUUAUGGUCAGUUACUACGCAAGAGGACUCUGGCCAGACUGCCGUUGACAAAACGGAGGAAGGUGGGGAUGACGUCAAAUCAUCAUGCCCUUUAUGACUUGGGCUACACACGUACUACAAUGGCGUUAAACAAAGAGAAGCGAGACCGCGAGGUGGAGCAAAACUCAGAAACAACGUCCCAGUUCGGACUGCAGGCUGCAACUCGCCUGCACGAAGUCGGAAUUGCUAGUAAUCGCAGAUCAGCAUGCUGCGGUGAAUACGUUCCNCGGGCCCUUGUACACACCGCCCGU